UACGGCCAGGCGAGGCUGAAACACCAGUUCCUUUACGGCAACCGAAGUUAAGCAACGUCGAGCCUGGUCAGUAUCUAGAUGGGUGACCGCUUGGGAAUACCACGUACUGUAAG